rnacentral:tRNA from 1 species
GCUUGAGUAGCUCAGUUGGUAGAGCGCGCCCCUGAAGAGGGUGAGGUCACCAGUUCGACCCUGGUCUCAAGCACCA